GUGGGGGCUCUUCUACGGGUUGUCAGGCCUGGUUCUACGUCUGGUCUGUCUGUGUGCUCAAGAUCUCGUUAGAUGGUAUCCACCGUGUGUUAUAGAGGUGUAGUUAGAUGGUAUCCACUGUGUGUUAUAGAGGUGUAGUUAGAUGGUAUCCACUGUGUGUUAUAGAGGUGUAGUUAGAUGGUAUCCACUGUGUGUUAUAGAGGUGUAGUUAGAUGGUAUCCACUGUGUGUUAUAGAGGUGUAGUUAGAUGGUAUCCACUGUGUGUUAUAGAGGUGUAGUUAGAUGGUAUCCACUGUGUGUUAUAGAGGUGUAGUUAGAUGGUAUCCACCGUGUGUUAUAGAGGUGUAGUUAGAUGGUAUCCACUAUGUGUUAUAGAGGUGUAGUUAGAUGGUGUUAUAGAGGUGUAGUUAGAUGGUAUCCACUAUGUGUUAUAGAGGUGUAGUUAGAUGGUAUCCACUAUGUGUUAUAGAGGUGUAGUUAGAUGGUAUCCACUAUGUGUUAUAGAGGUGUAGUAAACCGUGUGGUAAACCGAUGGGUGUUGGGGCUAUUCCCAAAUACCCCCCGUGUGGUAAACCGAUGGGUGUUGGGGCUAUUCCCAAAUACCCCCCGUGUGGUAAACCGAUGG